UACUACAAUAGCCCUCUCGGUAUGGAGU
rnacentral:sRNA from 1 species